UAUGCUGAUCAGGUGUCUGCAAUAAGUUUGGCAUCAGUAUGGUGACCUCCCGGGAGCGGGGGGCCACCAGGUUGUCUAAGGAGGGGUGAACCAGUCCAGGUCAGAAACAGAGCAGGUUAAAACUCCCAUGCUGAUCUAUAUGUGUUUUUAAUUGUUUUGAAUA
rnacentral:SRP_RNA from 1 species